UUGACAGGUACACACCAUUUUAACAACAGACAUAUUUGGUGUUAUUCGUUCACUGAUGGCAUUCAGAUUGACUGGUGGAAAUAAAGAUUAUGUUGUGGUGGGAUCUGACUCUGGCAGAAUCACCAUUCUAGAAUAUAGUCAGGCUAAAAACCAGUUUGAGCGCAUCCACAUGGAGACAUUUGGUAAAAGUGGUUGCAGACGCAUUGUUCCUGGCCAGUAUCUUGCCAUUGAUCCAAAGGGCAGGGCAGUAAUGAUUGGUGCUGUUGAAAAGCAGAAGUUAGUGUA